rnacentral:rRNA from 1 species
UACGAAGGGUGCAAGCGUUACUCGGAAUUACUGGGCGUAAAGCGUGCGUAGGUGGUUGGUUAAGUCUGCUGUGAAAGCCCUGGGCUCAACCUGGGAAUUGCAGUGGAUACUGGGCGACUAGAGUGUGGUAGAGGAUAGUGGAAUUUCCGGUGUAGCAGUGAAAUGCGUAGAGAUCGGAAGGAACAUCUGUGGCGAAGGCGACUAUCUGGGCCAACACUGACACUGAGGCACGAAAGCGUGGGGAGCAAACAGG